rnacentral:lncRNA from 1 species
AGAUACAGAGCAGCAUAUCCUUCAUAACGUAUGGAGGCUGGGAGGAUUCGAACAGACCUUUGGCCCACAUCUGUAUCCCUAUCUACAAAGUAAGACAUGGAGAAUCUUUCCUCUAAUCAAACUUUCCUUUACAAUUCGUGAACAUAAAAUGGGAGAAUUAAGUUCCAUGUAAGGAUUAUCAGGUAAACCAAAUUGAUUUUUUAUUCCUAAUCUAUGCCUAAAAGUAUGCUAAAAAAAUGCUCAUCAUUUUUGUUAUUAUUAUUCUUAGAAAGAAUUUACACACUAAAUCUCCAGACCUGACCAUGGAGUGUCAACCAGGAAUCCCAAAAGCAAUCCUGGGCGCCCUUUCUUCCUUGUCUGACAAUGGACAUGCUGUGUUCGGGUCCCACAUUCACCCCAGCAGGAAAGGCUGCACUUCAAACCCAGGUUUCUGUGGUCUGAGUGACUCAUCUCACCCAGCAGAUGAUGUUACAACUUCUCACAUGUUCCCUAGGUCUCCAGGGGCUGAGCUGUUAACAACUGGCACCUAAUCUGCCGGUGGCUGAGUCCAAAAUGUUUAGUCCUCCACCUUAAGUAAAUUUACAUAUAUCAUAAACUUAGUAAAAUGUCACUGGUUAUUCUAGCCAUCGGCUUUACUUAGUUUCCUACAGAGGCAACCCACAGUACCUCCCCUCAGGCCUGGGAUAUGAGUCCCUUGAUCCUAUUCUAGAACUUCUGUGACACAAAGAGAAGCAGAGUAAUAGGAAUCAUAGAGUAAAUUAAUGCGCUCUGGGACAGUCCUUGGCCAUUGGGAGACAGAAGGCAAUCGAUAAAUAUUUCCCCUUUUUUUCCUUUGAGUGGAUGAUCCUGAGACAUGUGUCAUAUGGAUUCUCAGGCUGUUCCACAGUAUUGAGCAACUUAGGAGCCAUAGUAGUGGCAAGUGGCUACCUCAUCUUGGGUCAUUUUCCCUCCUCCCAUGUAUCUCUCUGCUGUCCCUUUUUCCUGCUUCCAUGGAAUACAAUCCCAAACAGGCUACUCAAAGAUAUGUCUUCGGGGCUGUGCUUUCAGGAGAAUGCAGGCUAAGACAGCCACUCAUGGAGCCAUUCUCUGCUUACACUGUAAGAAGCAGAGUAGCAGGAAGAAAACUAUGAGUCCGACUGCACUACUGGGCGCCGCCAUGCUUCUCUACAGAGUGAUGAAAGAAUGGAGAUGGAGGCCACCUCUCUUCAACCUUUCGCUUGUUCUUAAAACUCAGAUGGCACAUCAGAAAAAAAUGAAACUGCUGAGGUCCCUGUCAUAUUCGGUAUCAUCUUCAGAGACCAGGAAUGCCUUGGGUCGCAAAUUCCUUGGAAACUGCCUGUCACUUUUUCCUCUCCUCCAACUUGUCACUCAUCACCCAGGAGCUGUCUUCCUCUGCCGAGAGCUGGGGAUGAACGUCUGCUCUGAGGCCUUAAACCUUGAUGAUGCACGGAUUUAUUUCCUCUUCUGCUUUUCCCUUUCCAAAACCUAG